GGGGUAGAUGGAUCGUUUUCAUCCCUGGACACCGAAAGAAAAGAGACACACCCUGCUGAAUCAUUUUAGGUCAUAUAGUAGUAAGCUCUGACAGCACACAGAGCUCUGCAUGCUGCAAAAGUACAAAAAAAACGCAGCUUACUGCUGCCCCCUGCUGGAUAAAAUUAAGUACUGCAUUUCAGAGCCAAUUAGGGCAGGAAAAUCGAGCAACACUUUUUAUCAAGUUGUUACAGGUUCAUGUUUCCCAUAGUUUGCCAUCAGCUCUUCUUUCACCAACGCUCUGUAAAUGUUGGAGAACCCAGCAGACCAGUUUCUGGUGUUUGGAAUGUUAAAAGUUGUCCUGAUCUUGCCUGAUAGAAGAUUGAUAGAAGAUGCUCCAAAUUUUUUCAAUGGCUGACAAGUGAGGACUGCAAGCAGACCAGGCAAGCAGCAGGACUCUUCUACUACAGAGCCAUUCUGUUGUAAUCCCUGGAAGCUACCCAUGACAUGGACACUUAUGAUCCUCAAACUAUCAGGGAUGCUGACUUUGACCGAGUGGUUUCCAAAAUGAAUGUCAAAUUGUCUUUCAUCAGAUUUUAGGACAGUCCUUCUCUUCCCUUUUGUCAACCUUAGAUGGGCUCAGGUCUGAGUAAGUUUCUGGUGUUUUGGGAUUGUGUCCAAAUCUGUUUUUGAUUCUUCAUGGUCCAAUUUCAAGUGUUCCAGUGAUUCUGAGCCAAUGCAGUGAAUUCCACUACAGAGUCCUGUCUGUUUUUAAUACAGUGCUGCCUCAGGCCUGAAGAUCAGGGCCAUUCAGUCUUGAUUUUUUUCAUAUUUUAAUGAUAUUAUGUUCUGAAGAUGAUGAAAUCCACUUCUUUGACAUUUUACACUCAGGAACUUUAUUCAGAAACUGUUGAACUAUUAGCUCACAUAGUCUCUCAAGAGUGGUGAACCUCUUCCCAUCUUUACUCCUGAGAAACUCAGCUUCUCUGAAUGUCCUCUUUAAACCCAGUCAUGUUACUAAUCUGUGGUAAAUUAACCUUUUUAGUUUGGAAAUGUUCCUCCUGCUGUUUUUAAGCAUUGCACAACUUUUUUACCCGUAUAGUUUUUCCUGCAGUUACUUUUUGUAAAUGUCUUGCUGGCAUUAAAAAUAGUGCAUACUUUUCUUAUAGAACAUCCAUCCAUUUUCUACCACUUAUUGCCGUUCCCGGGGUCGUGGGGGCUGGAGCCUAUCCCAGCAUCUUUGUGCCAAGGCAGGGGACACCCUGGACAAGUCGCCAGUUCAUCGCAGGGCUGACAUAUAGAGACAAACAACCAUUCACACUCACACCUAUGGGCAAUUUGGAAGUGGCCAAUUAACCUAACCCCACUUAGGCGUGUUUAUGGAAUGUGGAAGGAAACAGGAGUACCUGGAGUAAACCCACACAGACACAGGGAGAACAUGCAAACUCCACACAGAAACACCCUGACCCGGAUUCAAACCCAGGACCUUCUUGAUGUGAGGCGACAGUGCUAAACACUACACCACUGUGCCGCCCUC